rnacentral:rRNA from 1 species
AAUUUUUGACAUUGGGGGAAACCCUGAUCCAGCAAUCCCGCGUGUAUGAUUAAGGCCUUUGGGUUGUAAAGUACUUUUGGCAGAGAUGAAAAGUUACCCCCUAAUACUAGGUACUGCUGACUUUAUCUGCAGAAUAAGCACCGGCUAACUACGUUCCAGCAGCCGCUGUAAUACGUAGGGUGCAAGCAUUAAUCGGAAUUACUGGGCGUAAAGAGUGUGUAGGAGGUUCGGACAGCAAGAUAUAAAAUACAAAGGCUCACCCUUCGAACUGCAUUUUUAAAUGCAUAGCUAGCGUAUGUCACAGGGGGGUAGAAUUCCACGUGUAGCAAUGAAAUACGUAAAUAUGUGGAGGAAUACCGAUGACGAAGGCAGCCCACUGGGCUAAUACUGACACUGAGGUGCAAAAGCGUGGGGAGCAAAC